CCUCUAGAUGAGGACGGGCAGAUCACCUACAUCAUCGUCGGGCUGGGUAUGGAGUACCAACCACUGGUGUCAGCCCUCGACGCCCGCACCGAACCCGUCACGCUUGAUGAUCUGUUUGCUCAGGUGAGCAACUUCGAUC
rnacentral:snoRNA from 1 species